UGUGUGGGACCUGUAGGCCGUGUGCGGCGGGCGCCGGGAAUCGUGUAUCUAGAAGGAAUUGGGAUUAUCUCACUCAUAUCCAACGUCCAGAAUCGCUCCCGCAUAGCAUGCGCCGUCGCCUUCGCCUCCCUGUUCCCUCACACCUGCGCCCACUAAUCACGCCGCCGCCGCACCCCCGACGCUUCUCUCCUCCUCUCACGCCGCUCCCCCCCUCCCCUAACCCUAUUUCGCCGCAGCGGCCGCCGCCUCAACCUGCCGGCGCCGCUGCCGAUCCAUCAUCGCCGGAACACCAUGGAGACGUCAUCAAGCGCGUCGUCUCGGCCGCUCACGCCGUCGCGCUCCCCUCUCCUUUGGCCGCUCGACCAUCGUCGCCAUCGCUGUCCAGUCCGCCGCUGCACGCCGGUCGAGAUCGGCCGCCCCUAGCCUCCAACAAACUCUGCGCCUCCCCUCUCCUUCCGCCGCUCAACCAUCGUCGCCACCGCCGUCCAGUCCGCCGCCCGUACGCCGGCCAGCGGCGGCGUGCGGCAACUCCGGUGUAGAUCGGGGUGGGCAAGAUCGUUGAGGGAUUUGGUGCGGGGAGAAACCCUAAUAUGAUGCCAAUGUAUUAUGUUUGAUCUUUUGUUUUGCUUGGGCAAGAUCGUUGAGGGAUUUGGUGUGGGGAGAAACCCUAAUCUGAUUCCAAUGUAUUCCGUUUGAUCUUUAGGCAUGGGUUGAGAUCGUCUUCGUUUGCUUGGCUGAUCAUUUCAAUCUCUGUGAGAAUUGUUGUGAACCUGGAUCUAGAGGAUUCAAUGGAUUGUGGAAGCUUAUGAAUAUCCAAAUGAAGGAUCUGGUUAUUGACGAUUUCAUGAAUCUGAACGUCUGGGUUUCCUUAGUGUUCUUCCCCUCCUGUAUGCCCACAACCCUUCAAGUAAUUGCCACCAGCAGACCUCUAUGCAGGCUGCAGCACGCCAGCAGGUAUUUUUUUAUUUUGGAUAUUUGAAUUUUUGUGCAGAUGUGAAGGAAUCAGUGGAUAGAUCUAGCUUGAAUGUUUGACUAUCUGUCAUUAGAUUUACACAGAAAUGAGAAACACAUGUAGCCUUUGAUGUAUAUGAUGUUCAUAGGUCAAGCUAUAUGCGAUAAGUUUUCUGAAGGAAGAUAAUAGCUCAAGUUAUUUUCUUCGUUAGAGAAGAUUUACAAAAAGUGCAGUUAACUUGCAUUUUCUGCUAGAGGAAUGUUAAUUGCAAUGUCUCCCUCAUGAUGCCUCCCUCAUGACCAACAAAGAUUUACAUUACUUUAGGUUAGCUUUGUAGGUCUCUUUAACUUUUCCCGAUUGCAUAUCCUUCUACAAUUUUGCAGGAAAAUCUGUAAGCAAUUGUCGCAGUGUAAAUAUUUUUAUCACAUUUAUUUUAAGGAAAACGAUUGCAAUUUGAAUUCCAAGACGCAUGAUCCCCACAACCACCACCACAACCAUCUGUUUCAACUCCAAGUGCAUAGCUGGGUAAGAUUGUAUAUAUUUCUGAAUUCUGUUGUAUAUUUGUGGUGCAAGUUCAAGUCCAAGUUCAACCAUCAGUUUCAGUUGAAUAGAAAAUUGAUUUUAAAAUGUAUAUUGUGAUGGAUUGUGCUUCUCAAAUAUCAACCCUCUCCUCCUGAACACAACUGUCAUCUAGGUAGGCUGCCUACUUUCUUCUUUUUCUCUUUAAUUUGCUCUCUUCAGCUGAUCUGAUCUGAUCUGGGUAAGGAGAAGAAGAAAUGGCUGGAGUCUUGGAAGUAACGAGGCCUGUACAACAAACCUUGCUAGAAGGCUCCUAUGACCUUUCCUUCUCUUUUACAAAUGCUUGUGCCUCUCCAGUUCACCAGUGAGGGAGAUUAUGAACUCAGGUAUGAGGUAAUCCCUGUGGUUUUGCUUCUUUUUCUGGACAUGCUUAUUUUCAUCUGUUUAGUAGCAAGCAAUAUUUAGGUAUGAGAAAGAAUGUGCCUUAAGUAACUGUCAAUGGUACACAUAAGCUGCUCAUUUACUCUUCUUUCCUGGUCAUAUUAUCAAUAUAGGUUAGUUCAUGCUCUUACUCCACGAAAAACAAAGUACAUGGUCUUACUAUUUAACUGUUUAAUAUUAUUCUGAAAAACACUACAGUAGCUACUCGGUUGUUCUAGGCAACUAAAUGCAACUUGAAGUAAGAAUACAAUCUACAUCCAUGUAAAACAGAUAAGUUGCUCCAAUAAACUAUAAAAACACCCAUGCAUCAUGGUGAUGAAAAGAGACAUAAGUGUUAGCUAUUAUUUUUUGUUUAAUCAUGAAAUUGAGUCUUUCUGAAACCAGAUCGAGCAAGCCAAAUGGGACUGCAUCAGAGGUAUGAUGAAAGUUUUCCACUUUUUGACAUCAAUUAUCAUCAAUUGCAUAUUAAUUUUUUUGUGCAGAGAUAUUAGAUCAGAUCCAAGAGAGUGCCAAAUCUGUCAUGUAGCUUUGGUCUAGAUUAUUGCACGUCUAUAAGCAGUAUAUCUAUGUACUAUAUAUUUCAUUUUUGGUGCUACCAUAUAAAUUAGACUGAAUAUAUGACUGAUUCUUUUAGCCCUCUGUUUUUGAGCAAAUAGCAUUUGUGCAGUGACCAGGUGUACUAUCUUCUUGAUUUGCUUGCAGUCUCCCAUUGUUUGCUGAGGCCAUUAGUACUCUUGCGUGGAUGGUGGUUCAAUUGAAUAAUUAGGAACUGCGGCACUGGACGAAAAGAGGAAUAGGCAGUAUUCCAUGAGGGUUGUUUGAGUUUUCUUCUAUUCUCUUCAAAAAGUUGUAACUCUUUAAUUAUAUUGUGCCAAACUUUUUCAUAUUGCCGGGAGCACAUUUGUAUGGCACCAAACUGUUCACCUAAGCAAAUGGUCCAAUAAUGAAUAAUAUGCCUUUUUGUGCUUUUUUAUUACAA